GACAACAAAGAGACGCCAUUGGCUGUCUAACCUGUCUUAUUAGCGUAACUUCUCUUCAAGCGUCCUUUUAUCUUCUAUAAUAUUGCAGUCUUCAUAAUCGAGAUAAUCCUUAAUUAAUCGUAAUAAUUGAUAAAUUUCAAAGAUAACUGAUAAUUACUGUAAUAACUAAAAGGACCGAGAGAGUUGGGAAUGAAAAGUGCACGUGAUGCCUUGGGCUUAGAGCACUCAAUCAAUCAGUCUAUCAUUUAGUAUGUGAUGGACGAUCUUUACUUUAGUAACUAGCGAUGCACAGCCACUGUCAUUGGCCCGGGAACACGUCAGGGGUCAUCGAAGAUUGGAGCUGAAGCAACCCACGCCUAAUUGAUGAACUUGAGGUGUACGGCAUAGAUUCUUACUUGUGUGACAGAAUCUAGCAAGAUCCUGCCGUAUAAAUCUGCAAAGACUCCAAAUGUUGAAAUGGGUAAUAUUUAAUGCAACAAAAUUAAUGUUAAAAUAAUAUUGUGUCUUUGACAAAUGGAGGUUGCAUUUGAUGUUACUGAACAUUACCCAGUUUGAAAAUGCCUUCAGUCU